CGGAGAGUUUGAUCCUGGCUCAGGACGAACGCUGGCGGCGUGCCUAAUACAUGCAAGUCGAACGAGCUCUGGUAUUGAUUGGUGCUUGCAUCAUGAUUUACAUUUGAGUGAGUGGCGAACUGGUGAGUAACACGUGGGAAACCUGCCCAGAAGCGGGGGAUAACACCUGGAAACAGAUGCUAAUACCGCAUAACAACUUGGACCGCAUGGUCCGAGUUUGAAAGAUGGCUUCGGCUAUCACUUUUGGAUGGUCCCGCGGCGUAUUAGCUAGAUGGUGGGGUAACGGCUCACCAUGGCAAUGAUACGUAGCCGACCUGAGAGGGUAAUCGGCCACAUUGGGACUGAGACACGGCCCAAACUCCUACGGGAGGCAGCAGUAGGGAAUCUUCCACAAUGGACGAAAGUCUGAUGGAGCAACGCCGCGUGAGUGAAGAAGGGUUUCGGCUCGUAAAACUCUGUUGUUAAAGAAGAACAUAUCUGAGAGUAACUGUUCAGGUAUUGACGGUAUUUAACCAGAAAGCCACGGCUAACUACGUGCCAGCAGCCGCGGUAAUACGUAGGUGGCAAGCGUUGUCCGGAUUUAUUGGGCGUAAAGCGAGCGCAGGCGGUUUUUUAAGUCUGAUGUGAAAGCCUUCGGCUCAACCGAAGAAGUGCAUCGGAAACUGGGAAACUUGAGUGCAGAAGAGGACAGUGGAACUCCAUGUGUAGCGGUGAAAUGCGUAGAUAUAUGGAAGAACACCAGUGGCGAAGGCGGCUGUCUGGUCUGUAACUGACGCUGAGGCUCGAAAGUAUGGGUAGCAAACAGGAUUAGAUACCCUGGUAGUCCAUACCGUAAACGAUGAAUGCUAAGUGUUGGAG
rnacentral:rRNA from 1 species